GGAAUUGACGGGGCCCGCACAAGCGGUGAGCAUGUGGUUUAAUCGAUGGUACGCGAGGAACCUUACAGGGCUUGACAUACGUUGGAAGCGCAUCGAAAGGUGCGUGCCGCUUGCGGCCGGCGUACAGGUGCUGCAUGGCUGUCGUCAGCUCGUGCUGUGAAGUGUUGGGUUAAGUCCCGCAACGAGCGCAACCCCCUGCUGCCUGUUGCCACCACGAGAGGUGGGGACUCAGGCGGGACCGCCGGUGACAAACCGGAGGAAGGUGGGGACGACGUCAAGUCAUCAUGGCCCUUAUGUCCUGGGCUACACACGUGCUACAAUGGCCGGUACAGAGCGCAGCGAGGCCGCGAGGCGGAGCGAAUCGCUUAAAGCCGGUCCCAGUACGGAUUGGAGUCUGCAACCCGACUCCAUGAAGUUGGAAUCGCUAGUAAUCGCGCAUCAGCAUGGCGCGGUGAAUACGUUCCCGGGCCUU
rnacentral:rRNA from 1 species